GUUUUUUGUUUUGUUUUGUUUUGUUUUUUCACAGUCUUGAAGGGCCACUGUGAUUCAACAAAACUAGUACCUGUUAAAAUGAGCUCUGUCUCCACUGAUGUCUUCCCACAUCAGCUACCAACACCUGCUUCGACCCAGAACAACAGGAGUGACAGCAGUGCAUGGAGACCUAGACCUGCCCUUUCGAGAAGAUGCAGUUUCUCCAUCACAAUAGCAACGUCUUCAGAGGCAGACAGUAUCUACAAAGGACAGAAUUGCAUCCUUGAUUGCAUGUGGCAUGUCUUAACACCUCUACUUUCCUGCCAAUUGGCAGAUGAGGCAGGUUAUGGUCAGGACAUGGUGGUCUGAAGAAGGAAAGUGGUUUGCAGUCCACAGCUGCAGUAGCCUAGAGGGCUACCGGAGAAUCAUGGACCUUUCAGUGCUGUAAAGAUGGUUUGCUGUCAGCUGUGCUCUGAAAUUCAAUCAGCCUCUCCCUUGCUAGACUUCUAGGGCCCUUUGGAGAUAAUUUCGAAUUAGAUUUUAAGGUAAGUAAGGGCCCACAUAGUAUAAUUUCCUGACUAACACAGAUCACAGCUCUUCACCUGGUAAUUUCUGUACCAGACUCAUAACCCUUGUUUGUGCUGCAGUAUCUCUCUGGGAGAGGCAAUCUUGAUUUCAAAAUGUCAAAAGAUACGCAAUUAUUUGCUGAGCACUACCAGGAGUAUGAUAUGAAUUGUGAAAUGAACCCUGUUUGUUUUUUUUUAAGUGGGGAACUUGGCAUAUCUUAGCAUCAGCUGAACAUAUUGUAACGGCCUAUUUCUGCAUCUGAAAAGUCCAAGGGAAACAACUGGAUUGAUCAAGCUAGCGCAUGAGAAUUGGAAAAAACAGACUGUGCACAAGAUGCUGUUUUUCACUGCCAGUUCCAAGGUCCUAGAAAUGGCUGCGUGUGUAAACACGGCUGCUUGCCGUAGAUCACUCCUGUGUAAUGAGGCAAGCAGCACAUGGUGCUGUACAAAUUUAAAACGUGCCAAGAUGAAGGCACCAGCACUGGCACACAAACACAAAGCUAGUCAUGCAGAAGAUUACCAAACAAUACUAACUGGAAACUUAAAUACGAACCCUUUUU
rnacentral:lncRNA from 1 species